UACGUAGGAGGCAAGCGUUGUCCGGAUUUACUGGGCGUAAAGGGAGCGCAGGUGGUUGCGCAAGUCGAUGGUGCAAGCUCCAGGCUUAACUUGGAGAGGUCUGUCGAUACUGCGUGACUUGAGGGCGGUAGAGGAGCACGGAAUUCCUGGUGUAGUGGUGAAAUGCGUAGAUAUCAGGAGGAACACCGGUGGCGAAAGCGGUGCUCUGGGCCGUUCCUGACACUCAUGCUCGAAAGCGUGGGGAGCGAACCGG
rnacentral:rRNA from 1 species